UACGUAGGGUGCAGGCGUUAAUCGGAAUUACUGGGCGUAAAGCGUGCGCAGGCGGUUUCUUAAGUCAGAUGUGUAAGCCCCGGGCUUAACCUGGGAACUGCGUUUGAAACUGGGAGACUUGAGUGUGGCAGAGGGGGGUGGAAUUCCACGUGUAGCAGUGAAAUGCGUAGAUAUGUGGAGGAACACCGAUGGCGAAGGCAGCCCCCUGGGUUAACACUGACGCUCAUGCACGAAAGCGUGGGGAGCAAACAGG
rnacentral:rRNA from 1 species